CUUGCGGGCCGGCCGGCAGAAAAACUUAAAAACAAUGGCGGACAGUGAAGCGGGAGCUGUCGGAGAGGAUUGCGCAUAUAAAUGACCAAAAGAGAAAACCAGGGAAUUUAUUAAGCUUAGGGCGGAGAUGGACCACAUGAUCACCGGAGCAAAGUAUUCGGCGGCUGUGGCAUGGAGACUAUUCUGGAGAAAAUGGGCAUCCAGGGGAAGGUGCCAGCGAUGACCAGCUUCUGGAGCUGAUCUGGGAGGACAUGAGGCUGCAGAGGGAGGCAGAGCAGCAGAGAGCACAGGAGAGAAGGAAGAACUUUGACAGCUUUUUACUUUGCUAGAAAAAAAUGGUUAAUGAAGAUUAAACAUGUACAUGUAAAAGAAAUAUCUAAAUAAAAUCAGUUCUGCAUUAAACUCUUGAAUUUUAUUUUUGUUUACAAAUGAGAAUUGUUUACUAGAGGGUAUCCGCUGGGUCUUGAAAAGUCUUAAAAGGUGAUAAAUUGGUUUUGGUCUAAGACCCUUAGAAAGUAUUAAAAACUAUUAUCACAUCUUUGCUCAGGCUCAGCUAGUCUAAAGUAUUUUCUCUGAAUUAGCUCUCCCAACAGUCAAGGAAAUGAUUAACCCCCAGAGACCCACGGUUGUAGUAUUACAACAUCAGAUUUAAGUCUACAAAAAUAAACCUUCCCCAUUUUUCUUCUUUUUAAAACCACAUUUACAUUGCUAAUAGGUCCUAUUCAGUUCUGCAACACCAUUGGCUGUUAAAAUGUGUAAAUAGGCCCGUUUAUCUGGCCUCCUAGAACAACAUGUGAAAGGUUAAAAAAUAUUUUGCAGUUGUUUUCUAAAUUUGGGUUUCUGGGGGUUAAAAAGCUAAAUAAAACGUCGAGCUCCAUCGUUUAAGGUUCCUUCUGCCCAGCGGUUCCACGGUUGCUAGGCGACGGAACGUUCGCCGAGGGAGUUCAUGAAGGCUAGGCCUGUCCAAAUUCACAGCCGUUAACAUCCGGUCUACCCGGCCGACGGAGGACGCAGCCCACGUCGGCCGGGUGGGCUGGGUCCUUCGAAGGAUGCAGACCCUGAAUUGAGACACAGCCGUUGUCGCUACCC